GAGAUGUCGGUGACUUUGGUCACUCGACACUCGUCUGCAUGUUUAUUAUUGCCUGAAUCGUCGGCGUGCACUUCUCCCCUAGUASGACGUCSCGACCCGUUGGGUGUCGGUCUACGGCUCGGAUGGUAGCCUGUCUCGCGUGCGUCUCACGGCGUUUCGCGGGUCAGACCUCCGAUCGCCCGACCGGCUGCUCGGCGGUACUCGCACGGUAUCUGGCCGCAAAUAUUUGAACUGCGUCCGGCCCGUCGCAAGCGAGGCAAGUGUUCCCGGCUGUACGGAUUUAAUGCCGUCGCCGGGCCUUGACAGCUGUUGGUUGACGGKGUCCUGGGACUGGCCACCAAAAUUAUGAUACCGGUCGGCGACGCURCUGCUUUGGGUACUUUCAGGACCCGUCUUGAAACACGGACCAAGGAGUCUAACAUGUGCGCGAGUCAUUGGGAACUAUUAAACCUAAAGGCGCAAUGAAAGUGAAGGUCGGCCUUGCGCCGACCGAGGGAGGAUGGGCCGCGUCACGAUGCGGUCUCGCACUCCCGGGGCGUCUCGUUCUCAUUGCGAGAAGAGGCGCACCCAGAGCGUACACGUUGGGACCCGAAAGAUGGUGANCUAUGCCUGGUCAKGACGAARUCARGGGAAACCCUGAUGGA
rnacentral:rRNA from 1 species